rnacentral:rRNA from 1 species
GGGUAUUGAAAGGCAUCUUGAAUGACUCUGAUCCUACCUAGUCUCAGAAGCUAAGCCAGGCCAGAUCUCAUUAGUACUUGAAUAGGAGACCACCUAUGAAGACUAGGUGUCAUAGCCU